GAUGAAGAACGUAGCGAAAUGCGAUAAGUAAUGUGAAUUGCAGAAUCCAGUGAAUCAUCGAAUCUUUGAACGCACAUUGCGCCCCUUGGUAUUCCGAGGGGCAUGCCUGUUCGAGCGUCAUUAUAACCCCUCAAGCUCAGCUUGGUGUUGGGGCCUGCCGCACGGGCAGCCCUUAAAAUCAGUGGCGGUGCCAUCUGGCUCUAAGCGUAGUAAUUCUUCUCGCUAUAGAGUCCCGGUGGAUGCUUGCCAUUAACCCCCAAUUUUCUAUGGUUGACCUCGGAUCAGGUAGGGAUACCCGCUGAACUUAAGCAUAUCAAUAAGCGGAGGA
rnacentral:misc_RNA from 1 species